AUCCUAAAUAAAGGAGAAGAAAACUAAAUAAAAUCCAGGAUAGAAUAGAAAACAAAGUAAAAUCCAAAAUUGAAUAGGACUUCAUAUGCUCCUGCAUCACUUUUGCAACUGUGGAAUGUGUUUUGAUGGAGCCUAAGGCAAUUACUUUCAAAGAGCAUAAUUUGUUUCCAUGUUUAUCAUGUGAUAAAAUUUUUAGCUUCUCUAUGGUGCCCAAUUAAUGGUUUUCCAACGAAAUCUCUUUAGUUGA
rnacentral:misc_RNA from 1 species